rnacentral:rRNA from 1 species
ACUGUAACUGACACUGAGGCACGAAAGCGUGGGUAGCAAACAGGAUUAGAUACCCUGGUAGUCCACGCCGUAAACGAUGAGUACUAGGUGUAGGAGGUAUCGACUCCUUCUGUGCCGCAGUUAACACAAUAAGUACUCCGCCUGGGAAGUACGAUCGCAAGAUUAAAACUCAAAGGAAUUGACGGGGGCCCGCACAAGCAGCGGAGCAUGUGGUUUAAUUCGAAGCAACGCGAAGAACCUUACCUGGACUUGACAUCUCCUGAAUUACUCUUAAUAGAGGAAGCCCUUCGGGGCAGGAAGACAGGUGGUGCAUGGUUGUCGUCAGCUCGUGUCGUGAGAUGUUAGGUUAAGUCCUGCAACGAGCGCAACCCUUAUCAUUAGUUGCUACCAUUAAGUUGAGCACUCUAGUGAGACUGCCCGGGUUAACCGGGAGGAAGGUGGGGAUGACGUCAAAUCAUCAUGCCCCUUAUGUCCAGGGCUACACACGUGCUACAAUGGUGAGUACAACAAGAUGCAAUCCCGUGAGGGGGAGCCAAACUUAUAAAACUCAUCUCAGUUCGGAUUGUAGGCUGAAACUCGCCUACAUGAAGCUGGAGUUGCUAGUAAUCGCGAAUCAGCAUGUCGCGGUGAAUACGUUCCCGGGCCUUGUACACACCGCCCGUCACACCAUGAGAGCUGGCAACACCCGAAGUCCGUAGUCUAACCGUAAGGAGGACGCGGCCGAAGGUGGGGUUAGUGAUUGGGGUGAAG